ACGCCUUGCCGGAAGGGGCGGGGUUGCUGCCUUGGCGAGAGAGAGCCGCGUGGCGGGCGGCCACGGGCGCGCUUGCUCUAGCUGAGGAAGGGCAGCGGUAGCCGCUCGGUUGGGGUUGGGAGCGACGUUCCCUCCGUGCCGGAGAACGGGCCCCGUCUCGCUCCCAGCUACGGGGCUCAAUUCUUCCGGCGCUCUGCUUGGCGCGCGCUCCCGCCUGGCCGAGGCCUGCCUUUCUGGCCGGCGCGUGGGUGCUCCACGCUCCGGGCGCGCGGCGCUGACCGCGGGCUGGGGCGCGGGAGGCGGAGAGGAGACCAUGGCGCCGGGGUAGGGGGCGCUGGUGGCGUGGCCAGAGGCGGCGGCGGAGGAGGAGGCCGCCGCCUUUCCGGUAACGUGGCUCAUUGUGUCCCUGCAGGUGGGGACCGGACCGGCGCGGAGCCGCCGCCGAUGGGAGCGGGAUGCAGCAGGGUCCUAGCAGACUUGAGACCCAGGGCAACCAUCUGUUGCCAGGACAAACAUUCCUAAGUUGUGACGACUUUGAAGAAGGUGGGGUAAACAACACAGCCAGACUUGUAGAAACUUGAAGUAAAACAAGUUUGCUCAAGGGCCAUUUUAAAAAAAACAAAAAACCCCUUUUGAUUGCUGGUUGGAAGGAGAGCCAGCGGUGAAAAUUGUACUAUUUGCUUUGGAAAGUGGUGCAACAUCAUAACCCAACCCAAGAAAGGCUGCAGCCAGCCAGCAACAUGAGCCAGUGUUAAAAAAACCUGUCCAAUAAAUGCUAAAAUCUGGUGUGUAUGAGGGUAGUGAAAAUUGGAUUUUUUUGGAUGGGUCCUAAAAACUUGAGAUGCCAUUUGGUUCAUGAAGACUGUCUUUUCAUAGUUCCACACACAGCCUCUUGGAAGCUGCAGUGCACUGCCUUUAGACUUCCAUGCCAGCUGACUUAAUGCAGCAGUGUGGCUGGCAAUCAAGCAACUAAGUGGGUUGCUAGGACAAAAGCAAAAAAGAGUUUCUAAAGCUCGUGCUUCUGCUGCAAAAAUCAUAAUCUUUCCUCAUCUCCCUUCCACCUAUUUAAAUAUGUAUAUAUAGAAUGUGUAACUUUUUAGGUUUAGGGAGAAAUUAAAACUUUCACUGUUUUAUUUCUUUCUCCUGCAAAAAACUAAUUCUAAAUAUCUGACUUAAUUUUAUAACACCCCCAAAUUUUUGUUGAAUUGAUUCCACUAACUAUUUAUAAUCCAAAUAUUGGACAGAUAACUUGAGAUCAUGUGCUGCAUUUGUAAGUGGUGAAACUAGAAGGAACAAAUAAAACUGCACUCCUCAGAACAGCCACAAUUCUCAUCUCAGAAAUUAAUGGUCCUUGGUAACUACAGAGGGAGAACCGCACCACUACAGAUAUUUAAAGUAUUACAUUCACAAAAAUACUAAGCCAUUUGAAUAAAAUACACUGAUUACACAA